rnacentral:rRNA from 1 species
GGCUGCUGCUUCGCUGACGAGUGGCGGACGGGUGAGUAAUGUCUGGGAAGCUGCCUGAUGGAGGGGGAUAACUACUGGAAACGGUAGCUAAUACCGCAUAAUGUCGCAAGACCAAAGAGGGGGACCUUCGGGCCUCUUGCCAUCGGAUGUGCCCAGAUGGGAUUAGCUUGUUGGUGGGGUAACGGCUCACCAAGGCGACGAUCCCUAGCUGGUCUGAGAGGAUGACCAGCCACACUGGAACUGAGACACGGUCCAGACUCCUACGGGAGGCAGCAGUGGGGAAUAUUGCACAAUGGGCGCAAGCCUGAUGCAGCCAUGCCGCGUGUAUGAAGAAGGCCUUCGGGUUGUAAAGUACUUUCAGCGGGGAGGAAGGGAGUAAAGUUAAUACCUUUGCUCAUUGACGUUACCCGCAGAAGAAGCACCGGCUAACUCCGUGCCAGCAGCCGCGGUAAUACGGAGGGUGCAAGCGUUAAUCGGAAUUACUGGGCGUAAAGCGCACGCAGGCGGUUUGUUAAGUCAGAUGUGAAAUCCCCGGGCUCAACCUGGGAACUGCAUCUGAUACUGGCAAGCUUGAGUCUCGUAGAGGGGGGUAGAAUUCCAGGUGUAGCGGUGAAAUGCGUAGAGAUCUGGAGGAAUACCGGUGGCGAAGGCGGCCCCCUGGACGAAGACUGACGCUCAGGUGCGAAAGCGUGGGGAGCAAACAGGAUUAGAUACCCUGGUAGUCCACGCCGUAAACGAUGUCGACUUGGAGGUUGUGCCCUUGAGGCGUGGCUUCCGGAGCUAACGCGUUAAGUCGACCGCCUGGGGAGUACGGCCGCAAGGUUAAAACUCAAAUGAAUUGACGGGGGCCCGCACAAGCGGUGGAGCAUGUGGUUUAAUUCGAUGCAACGCGAAGAACCUUACCUGGUCUUGACAUCCACGGAAGUUUUCAGAGAUGAGAAUGUGCCUUCGGGAACCGUGAGACAGGUGCUGCAUGGCUGUCGUCAGCUCGUGUUGUGAAAUGUUGGGUUAAGUCCCGCAACGAGCGCAACCCUUAUCCUUUGUUGCCAGCGGUCCGGCCGGGAACUCAAAGGAGACUGCCAGUGAUAAACUGGAGGAAGGUGGGGAUGACGUCAAGUCAUCAUGGCCCUUACGACCAGGGCUACACACGUGCUACAAUGGCGCAUACAAAGAGAAGCGACCUCGCGAGAGCAAGCGGACCUCAUAAAGUGCGUCGUAGUCCGGAUUGGAGUCUGCAACUCGACUCCAUGAAGUCGGAAUCGCUAGUAAUCGUGGAUCAGAAUGCCACGGUGAAUACGUUCCCGGGCCUUGUACACACCGCCCGUCACACCAUGGGAGUGGGUUGCAAAAGAAGUAGGUAGCUUAACCUUCGGGAGGGCGCUUACCACUUUGUGAUUCAUGACUGGGGUGAAGUCGUAACAAGGUAACCGUAGGGGAACCUGCGGUUG